GAUCCUGGCUCAGGACGAACGCUGGCGGCGCGCCUAACACAUGCAAGUCGAACGGAGCUUAGAGAGCUUGCUUUUUUAAGCUUAGUUGCGAACGGGUGAGUAACGCGUGAGUAACCUGCCCUAGAGUGGGGGACAACAGUUGGAAACGACUGCUAAUACCGCAUAAGCUCACGGUACCGCAUGGUACUGAGGGAAAAGGAUUUAUUCGCUUUAGGAUGGACUCGCGUCCAAUUAGCUAGUUGGUGAGGUAACGG
rnacentral:rRNA from 1 species